UCGGGGAAAGAUUACCGUACACAAGUGCCUAGUGGGAGGUACCAUUCUCUCUGAACUGUCGAAGUUAAGACCGGAAACCUUGCUAAUCGGCGACUAGGUAGCUUUCAUCCAAUGAGCCAACAAACCGCUGCCGGCAAAAAAGAUCUUUGGGUGCCGGUGCGCGUAGGGCUGCAAAGUUGAAACUUAAAGGAAUUGACGGAAGGGCACCACCAGGAGUGGAGCCUGCGGCUUAAUUUGACUCAACACGGGAAACCUCACCCGGCCCGGACACGGACAGGAUUGACAGAUUGAUAGCUCUUUCUCGAUUCCGUGGGUGGUGGUGCAUGGCCGUUCUUAGUUGGUGGAGCGAUUUGUCUGGAUAAUUCCGAUAACGAACGAGACUCUGGCAUGCUAACUAGUUACGCGACCCCCGAGCGGUCGGCGUCCCCCAACUUCUUAGAGGGACAAGUGGCGUUCAGCCACCCGAGAUUGAGCAAUAACAGGUCUGUGAUGCCCUUAGAUGUCCGGGGCUGCACGCGCGCUACACUGACUGGCUCAGCGUGUGCCUACCCUACGCCGGCAGGCGCGGGUAACCCGUUGAACCCCAUUCGUGAUGGGGAUCGGGGAUUGCAAUUAUUCCCCAUGAACGAGGAAUUCCCAGUAAGUGCGGGUCAUAAGCUUGCGUUGAUUACGUCCUGCCCCCCUUGUGAAAAAAAGACCCAGAUUUUUGGGGUUCCUUUGUGUUUGUGGUGGUUGUUGGUUGGCGGCCUUCUCUGUGGGGCUUCUCUUUU
rnacentral:rRNA from 1 species